CCUACGGGUGGCAGCAGUGAGGAAUAUUGGUCAAUGGGCGCAAGCCUGAACCAGCCAAGCCGCGUGAGGGAUGAAGGCUCUAUGGAUUGUAAACCUCUUUUAUAAGGGGAUAAAGUGCGAGACGUGUCCCGGUUUGAAUGUACCUUAUGAAUAAGGAUCGGCUAACUCCGUGCCAGCAGCCGCGGUAAUACGGAGGAUCCGAGCGUUAUCCGGUUUUAUUGGGUUAAAGGGGUGGGUAGGCGCCCUGUAAGUCAGCGGUGAAAGUCUGUGGCUCAACCACAGAAUUGCCGUUGAUACUGGCGGGCUGGAGUUUGUUUGCGGUAGGCGGAAUGCGUGGUGUAGCGGUGAAAUGCUUAGAUAUCACGCAGAACCCCGAUUGCGAAGGCAGCCUACCAAGCCAUGACUGACGCUGAUGCACGAAAGCGUGGGGAUCAAACAGGAUUAGAUACCCCUGUAGUC
rnacentral:rRNA from 1 species